rnacentral:pre_miRNA from 1 species
AUUCUACUCCCUCCGUUCCACAAUAAUACAUGCCUUCUAUUUGUCAAAAUAUAUAUGUAUCUAGACAUGUCUUAGUAUAUAGGUACAUCCAUUUUUGGACAAAUGGAAGUCAAGUAUUUUUGAACGGAGGGAGGUACACA